GAACAAGAGACUAAUGAGUUACUAUAGCAACAAGCAGAUGGGUGUGGUCAAAUGAGUGGCUUUGGGAACUAAUGAGGUUAACAAUAAAGACAAACCAGGCACACAACAGACAAGGACAGAAAACACACAGGAAACAUGUAACAAGUAUCAGGCCCUGUCCACAGGAACAUGGAGAGAGUUCAGGAGGAGUAUGAUGAUGUGAUGAGUGUCAGUGAAGAUGUGAGAAACCUGAUGGAUUAUGAUGAUGUGGAGGAGGAG